GUGCGCUGUACGUGUGCUUCCCCAGUGUCAGGGGACAGCCAAUCCUUGGGGCAGGAGCCUGCUCUUUCUCUAGGGGAGAAUCUGCAUCCCAGGCAGGAGAGGGGCAAAAGAAAAGAGAAGCCGGGAGAAAGGAUGGGGAGGAAAUGCAGGCUUGCUGGCCUUGGUAGGUCAUUCUUUUGACCUUGCUUCCUUCUCAGAACACUGUGAACUUGUUUACAAAACUUCUAGGCAAGGGUCAAGGCAACUGGUCUGGAUUACGUCUUUCAACGAGGACCUUUCAGGAUGCAUACCACGCGAGAGGAAUGGAGGGAGGUCUGACAGGCGGGGAAUCCAAUCUGAGCUGCUCCCACUCAAAAAAGGAGACAUUCCGUCAACAAAUAGCAAGGCCCAACCUGUUCCAGAAGCAGUGAACAUGAGACAGCCUAUGUCCCCAGGAAGCCCCCAGCAGGGGACAAGGACAGUCUACAGAUGCACACACGGGCCAUCAGAAUACAGCAGGAGAUGAGCUCUGAUGAGGAAAGGGAGUGCUAUGGGAGAGAGAUCACUGAUCCACCCUGGGGAACAGGAGGCUCGCCAGCCUUCCCCAAAGAUCACCAGAGUUCAAGAAGCACAUCACUGAGAAGAAGACUGAUGCGCAAAAGAGGUGUGUGAUGGUCAGAAGAUGAAUAAAGCAGCACUUCCCAAAUUUGCUUCUUUGCUUUUUCACCGUGGGACCAAUGCCCAAAAGGGUCAUGCUCUUUCGCGAAAGUCAAACGUAACUUCCAGACGGAAUGUCAGAGGCACACACUCCUGAGGUUGGAAGCUUCUUCCCUGGAUCCUGGGACAUCAAGGAUUUUGGCGUGUGAUGACACACUCAUAAAGGAGAAGCAAAGGCUGGGUGGGAGUAAAAGCCCUCCACAGCCCAGGUGAGGCCUGGCUGUGCUUCACUGGCUCCUAGCUAGCUGUGUGCACUGGGGCGUGCUCUCACCUCUGGAGUUCUGCCUCCUGGCAGCAAACCAAGAGAGUGCCACACAGACUAUGCAACCUCCGGGUCCACUUUUGUUCCCAUGUUCUAUGACUUGGGGACCUCCACCCUGCUCUACUCAUUUGCACAAACAUGUAUUCACUAUGGGGGUCCUAUCCCUGAAUAGGCCAUUCCUUCUACUCGUUGGUGCCCGAGAGUUCCUCCCUAUGGAAACACAAUCAAAGACGACACUUAAAAACACAGAUCCCUGCGAGAGAGGGCAUUUGCUGUCCCCAUGCCCUCUGGCAGACAAAUGAAUUUCUUGAGAGCUGACUUACUAGUGAAUGUGGCCUUACUUCUGCUCUUUCCUGUCCGUAACUUUGGGACUUCACCACGUUGCACUUUGGAGCUCUCGUCUAUACAAUGGACAUGAUGACAUUCACUUCAAUAGGGAGAGAGAAUUAAACUUUAACCUUAUGGUAAGAGGUAAACAAAUAUGACCUCUUAUUUUUGUAGGUGCAGUUAUUAAAUCUCCAAGAAAGGUGGAACAUACAAGGGUAGAGAGAAUACCUUUGUCAGUAUCGUUGGGGGUCAACAUAUAUUCAUCUUCUAAAUGAGAAUAUUCAAAGAAGCACAUACACCAAUUUAUUAUUAAUUGAAAAGACCUUAGAGCCAAUACAGCAUACAGAAGGUAACAGAAGGAGAAAUAUGAGGCUGGUAGGGGGAGGGUGGAAACAGACGAAGGACCAAUCCAAGAUCACAGAGGGUAUCGAAGGCAAAACCAGGGGAAACAUCUCCAGGCUCCAGGGGCAGAGGCAUCUGAGCGGAAGAGAAAAGGUAAAUGUGGUUCCACACUCUAAAUCUUCCAACAGCUGCCCCUUCUCAGUUUGUUAAUAAAGGUAAAGGCAUUCACAAGCAAAGAUCAAGAUAUGAGCUGGUCUCCACAUUAUGUGGGGCCUCAUUCAGGAACUACGGUGAGCAAUGAAUACAGAUUUGUUGCCUCUGUCCCUCUAAACUCAUAUUCUUAAAAAGAACAAAAAGGGCUUGAAGGAGUUCUUGUAAUCAAAAUCGGCUGGGAGAGAAAGCAGGGCCCCAGCAGAGUCUGCUAAAUAGAAGGUAAUGAGUUAACGGCAUAAGCCAGUUGCCUGCAUCCUGUCCAGCUGUCUCCUCCAAUAACCAAGACCUCUGCACUGCCAUGCAUUUGCAUCAGCAGUUUCCUCACCUGGAAUGCGGUCUUUCCCACAUUUCCUGAAAUCCAGUCAUCUUUCGAGUCUUGGCUCCAAAAUCACCCCUCCUGUAAAACCUUCCUUGACUCUCCAAGUCCUAGGGAGAACUGACAUGUCCCCACCACCCCAGUUCUCAUCCCACCCAGCACGGACCUCUAUUCUGAGCUGGUAGCAUUUCCUUUAUAGGUCCGUUGGCUAUCUAAUUCAUCUAGAUAUUAAUAGUACUGAGAAUUGUGACUAAUACCUAAUAUAAGCUUAGGUAAGAGCUACUGAAUGAGUGCAUGGAUGAAUGAAUUAUAAAUGACUGAUUCUGGCUGCUGAGUGUUCUGCGGGUAGAAUUUUCAAGGCCCUGCCUUUACUGGCAUUGAAAAUGUCAAAGAGGUUUGCAGCCACCUUCGGAAUUCAAGACACCUAAUCAUACAUAUUCAUUGGGUCACAGAAUAUCCUGGUACCUGUCCUUUGAGCACCAGAUGACACCUUUAGAAUAGUAGCUAUUUGUUUUCCCAAACACUUGAAAAUUGCAAUAUUCACUUCCUUUUGCCCUCCUAAGAUUCCUUCCCCUCAUCUGGACCACAGACGGCAAAAAAACGUCCAUUCAAGACUUUUCUAGGAAGCUGUUGUUAGGAGCAGUCCAUCACAGUACCCAGGUCUGGACAGGAUGAGACCUACCUCUCUUCGUCCUUAAAGAUGAAUUUCCGCAGCUUGAGGUCCCGCAGCACCAGCCC
rnacentral:lncRNA from 1 species